UGGCCUAGUGGUUAAGGCUAUGGAUCGCCAAUCCGGAGACGGCGGGAUCGAUUCCCGU
rnacentral:tRNA from 1 species